AUUCAAACACUCUUCCUCCUCUUCAGAAAGGAAAAAAAAAUAAAAAAAUAUAAGAAUGAGGAGGAGAGAAGAAAAAGUGAGUGGGAAAAUGCUUAAACUUGUUGGUAUUUUUCAUCUCAACUGUUACUUUCGUUUGCGCGAUUCUGUGCAAUUUAUUGUUCCCGGAAGAAUCAACCCGAGGAAACGAUUUAAAUCGUGUAGUAGAGAGAAGGGGGGAAAAAAAAAGAAAAAAGAAGAAGAAUAUAAAGUUGUGUUUGCAGCAGCAGCAGCUUCGCUUCCCUUCAGGCUGGCGUAUAUAGGAAGUGCCACCGUUCCUUACAUGCAAAUUGCAGAUAAGCGGAAGCGGAGAUAAAGCGGCUCUGGUCGUAGAUAGAAAACUGAGAUAGAGCGAAGUGCGGUCGCCAGAUGGCAGCUCUAGACGGGUAAAGAAAAAGGCAAGAAGUUUUCUAAAAAGGCAGAACUAUUGGAGUUUGUCGCCCGAAGCCAUCAACCGUAUACCUUCAGUGUAAAUAUUCUAUUGACUGGAAGUUCUCUCGGCUCCUAUCGAGCCUUACGCGCAAAGACUCGGAAGAAAGGAUAAAAAUACGGAUAUCAAUAACUCAGACCUGUGUAUAUCCCUAAGUGGUAGCCUAUAUAUAUAUAUAUAUAUAUUUAUAAUCGUUAAGAAAACUUUCUGCAACGAGUUACG
rnacentral:lncRNA from 1 species